AGAUUUUCAAUAGGGCAUGUGCUGCUGCCCUGCCUGAGUGGAAGUUUUGGCAGACACAUGGAUGACUGUGUCAUCGGCAUAGAGCUGACAGUUUACACCUUUGCAGCAGUCUGGAAGGUCAUUUAUAUACAUGGUGAACAGCAAAGGUCCAAGCACAGAACCUUGUGGUACCCCCAUGUUAUUAGGCUUCAGGAUUGAUUUACUCCCAUUCAC